rnacentral:rRNA from 1 species
CAGCCGUAAACAAUGUGCGUUAGGUGUGUCGGUAACCACGUGUUACUGAUGCGCCGAAGAGAAAUCGUGAAACGCACCACCUGGGAAGUACGGUCGCAAGGCUGAAACUUAAAGGAAUUGGCGGGGGAGCACAACAACGGGUGGAGCCUGCGGUUUAAUUGGACUCAACGCCGGACAACUCACCGGGGACGACAGCAAUAUGUAGGCCAGGCUGAAGACCUUGCCUGAAUCGCUGAGAGGAGGUGCAUGGCCGUCAGUGACU